AUUACUCCUACGGGAGGCAGCAGUGGGGAAUAUUGGACAAUGGGCGAAAGCCUGAUCCAGCAAUGCCGCGUGAGUGAUGAAGGCCUUAGGGUUGUAAAGCUCUUUUACCCGGGAUGAUAAUGACAGUACCGGGAGAAUAAGCUCCGGCUAACUCCGUGCCAGCAGCCGCGGUAAUAAU
rnacentral:rRNA from 1 species